rnacentral:rRNA from 1 species
UACGUAGGGGGCAAGCGUUGUCCGGAAUCAUUGGGCGUAAAGAGCGUGUAGGCGGCUCGAUAAGUCUGCUGUGAAAGUCCAGGGCUCAACCCUGGAAGGCCGGUGGAAACUGUCGGGCUAGAGUUCGGAAGAGGCGAGUGGAAUUCCCGGUGUAGCGGUGAAAUGCGCAGAUAUCGGGAGGAACACCAAUGGCGAAAGCAGCUCUCUGGGACGGUACUGACGCUGAGACGCGAAAGCGUGGGGAGCGAACAGG